rnacentral:rRNA from 1 species
UACGUAGGGGGCAAGCGUUGUUCGGAAUUACUGGGCGUAAAGGGCGCGUAGGCGGCAGGCCAAGUCGGGAGUGAAAGCCCGGGGCUCAACCCCGGAAGGUCUUUCGAAACUGGCCAGCUGGAGUGCGGAAGAGGCAACUGGAAUUCCCAGUGUAGCGGUGAAAUGCGUAGAUAUUGGGAAGAACACCUGAGGCGAAGGCGGGUUGCUGGGCCGACACUGACGCUGAGGCGCGAAAGCCAGGGGAGCAAACGGG